rnacentral:rRNA from 1 species
UACGAAGGGUGCAAGCGUUACUCGGAAUUACUGGGCGUAAAGCGUGCGUAGGUGGUGCGUUAAGUCUGUCGUGAAAGCCCCCGGGCUCAACCUGGGAAUGGCGAUGGAUACUGGCGCGCUAGAGUGCGGUAGAGGAGAGUGGAAUUCCCGGUGUAGCAGUGAAAUGCGUAGAGAUCGGGAGGAACAUCAGUUGCGAAGGCAGCUCGCUGGGACGUGACUGACGCUGAGACGCGAAAGCGUGGGGAGCAAACAGGAUUGAGAU